GUGUCAGCCGCCGCGGUAAUACGUAGGGCCCGAGCGUUAUCCGGUAUUAUUGGGCGUAAAGAGUACGUAGGCGGUUAUGCAAGACAGUGGUUAAAUCCCCGGGCUCAACCCGGAAAUCGCCACUGUGACUGCGUAACUUGUCGUUAGCAGGGGCAAGCAGAAUUCUCGGUGUAGGAGUGAAAUCCGUUGAGAUCGAGAAGAAUACCAAUGGCGAAGGCAGCUUGCUAGGCUAUUUGAGACGCUGAGGUACGAAAGCGUGGGUAGCGAACGGGAUUAGAAACCCCUGUAGUCC
rnacentral:rRNA from 1 species